rnacentral:rRNA from 1 species
UACGUAGGGUGCGAGCGUUGUCCGGAAUUAUUGGGCGUAAAGAGCUCGUAGGCGGUGUGUCACGUCGGCCGUGAAACCUGCAGCUUAACUGUGGGCGUGCGGUCGAUACGGGCAUCACUGGAGUUCGGCAGGGGAGACUGGAAUUCCUGGUGUAGCGGUGGAAUGCGCAGAUAUCAGGGAGGAACACCGAUGGGCGAAGGCAGGUCACCUGGGCCGCAACUGACGCUGGAGGAGCGGAAAGCAUGGGGAGCGAACAGG